rnacentral:rRNA from 1 species
AUUGAACGCUGGCGGCAGGCUUAACACAUGCAAGUCGAACGAUGAAGAUAUAGCUUGCUAUAUCGGAUUAGUGGCGGACGGGUGAGUAACACUUAGGAAUCUACCUUUUAGCGGGGGAUAGCUCGGGGAAACUCGAAUUAAUACCGCAUAAUUUCUACGGAAUAAAGAGGGCUUUUAGCUCUCACUAGAAGAUGAGCCUAAGUAAGAUUAGCUAGUUGGUGGGGUAAAAGCCUACCAAGGCGACGAUCUUUAGCUGGUCUGAGAGGAUGAUCAGCCACACUGGGACUGAGACACGGCCCAGACUCCUACGGGAGGCAGCAGUGGGGAAUAUUGGACAAUGGGGGCAACCCUGAUCCAGCCAUGCCGCGUGUGUGAAGAAGGCCUUUUGGUUGUAAAGCACUUUAAGCAGUGAAGAAGACCUAUUGGUUAAUACCCAAUAGUGAUGACAUUAACUGCAGAAUAAGCACCGGCUAACUCUGUGCCAGCAGCCGCGGUAAUACAGAGGGUGCAAGCGUUAAUCGGAAUUACUGGGCGUAAAGCGAGCGUAGGUGGUUAAAUAAGUCAGAUGUGAAAGCCCUGGGCUCAACCUAGGAACGGCAUCUGAAACUAUUUAACUAGAGUAGGUGAGAGGGAAGUAGAAUUUCAGGUGUAGCGGUGAAAUGCGUAGAGAUCUGAAGGAAUACCGAUGGCGAAGGCAGCUUCCUGGCAUCAUACUGACACUGAGGCUCGAAAGCGUGGGUAGCAAACAGG